CCCGCUGUCCUCCCGUCAUCUUAUCCAUUUCUCCUGCGACAGUGACGGCGGCUUCGCCAAUUCCGUUGUGCGCUUGCGACGGCCGCCGCCGUGCCUCACGCGGGAGGACGGAGGGCGCUCGCCGGGAGGAUGGAAGACAGCGCGGCGAGGCGGGGCAGUGGUGGUGGCGUGUGCGGCGGAGACGGCGCGGCAAGGCCGGGCAGUGGCGGUGGUUGUCCGGCCAUCGUGCCUCACGCGGGAGGAUGGACGACGCUCGCCGGGGCGUGUGCGGCGGAGACGGCUUCUGCCGCGCGUCGAGGUGGAGCAGCAGAGGACGGGAAGGCAAGGAGGUAGGGUGGGUACGCUGUGCACCAGCGCCGCCUUCGUCUUCCACCUCCUCCAAAAAUGCGCGCUCGCCGCGCGCGCUGGCGGUGGCGCGGCGGUCCUCGCCCUCGCGCACCCGUACUCACACGACGACCGCGUCCUCCACAAGAUGGUAAGCCCCCCGGCCGCUCACCCGCAUUUCCUCGGCAGCAGGGCCAUCCUCGCGGACCACGCGGCGGCGGUGACGCUCUUCGGGCACCCCUGCGGCCGACUGAGCCUGGCCAUCUAUGAGGACACGCGGGCGCCACCGGCGUUCCUCAUCGAGCUGCCCAUGCUCGCGGCCGGGCUGCACAGGGGGAUGGCCACGGGACCUUGAAGAUGGCGCUGGAGACCGACACCCACAGCGCGCGACGACCACUCCUGUCCAACGACGAGCGGCACGUGCUGCGGUUGCUGCGCGGCGUCUCCAUGGGCGCCGGGGUGCUGCCACCGCCGCCUGCUGAUGGCUCCAAUUGCCCCGACGGCGUCCUACUCCCGUGUCUGAUUAGAAUUGAAGAGUCCUGAACGUGUCCUUGUCCAACACAGAUCAAUGUAAUGCCCGACCCGGAUUUGACUUGACUGCUAUAAGAUGGAAGCGUCCUGGGCCUGAAUCUCCAUCAGGUUCCGUCCUUGGACCAUAGUCUCCAUCAAAUUCUGUCGAAAAUUUCACGAAGCGUCCAAUGUCGCCGCCGAGUGGUCCAAUGUCGUCUGCAGCGGCUACAGGAGAGAUUUCGUGUUGAUGAGAGAGGACCAGAAUGUCGGUUGUUCAGUACUUCAUGCAAAGAUACAACUACAAUUUGCAGUACUACUUGGCGCCUGCAGUCUAGAAGUGAUUCACGGCCUGCAAAUUUGCCUACGGAGGCACUGUAUCCAUGCUCGCUGUUUACUAAAAAUUAGACAUCGGAUGCUCAUAUUUUAGUUAGACAUCAGAUGUUCAGUGUAUUGUACAAAUUGACUGCAGGCGUGCAACAUUGUUGAAGGGCAAAGGUACUCUAAGCUGAAUGAUAAACAGGUCACCAACAUACUUAGAGCUUCCUUGGGUUUGUGCAGGACAUGUCCGGUUUCACUAAGUCAGUUUCACUUUCACGAAGACAGUGGAAAUGCAGAAAAAAGAAAGCACGUGGAUUUAGAAAUUUCAGCACUGUAGAGCUUAGUUGAAAUGGAAAACGAGAUUUAUAGCAUCCAGCGAGAGUGGUGAUUCGAUUUUUAAUGAUUGAUACUUUGGUUGUGAGAAGACAUGAGAUGGAUUUGGGCGGGGCAGUGGGUUUGCUCGCGAGGAGGUGGGAAGGAUGAAGAUAGUGGAAGAACCUUGAGAUGAUGGUGAUAUUACUGACUCAAUCCUUUAUUAGCUCUAUUUGUGUGGAUCUUUCAGGUGCAUGAAUGGUAACUUGUGCAAAACUACGCUUCCCUUGUCAUUUGAUAAUUUUUAUCUUUAUGAUGCUCAUAACAUAUUUUUCAUCUAUACUUAUAGGAGUUUGUUACCUUCUUUUGGUCGAAGAAUAAGAUGUGGGUAAUAUAUGCAUUGCCGACUUAGCUUAACGUUUUUAGAGCAGAAUUUCUAUAAAUUUUAUACAGGUAUUGUGCUGAAGUCCGUGGAAUAGGUUAAUGGCCAAGAGUGUUUAUAAGUUAUCAAGUCGAGCACAUAAGUCUGGAAUUAGCUAAUUUUCCCACUGAAAAGUAGAUAGAGAUUUCUGAAGACAUGAGACAUUAAUACAUAGCAUGUAUACAUAGCCGUCUUCUGAAUUCUAUGAUUCUUCAUACCUUGAGGCUGUUAAACAUCUAUGCACCUUUCAUUUGAUGAGGUACAUUCAAAUUGGGUCUGUUUAUAACUUUGAUGAAAAAUUAUCUUCCCUUAGAUGGUCAAGGUUCUAGAGCUCAUUGCUAUGCAAGAAAGCAUAUAUUUGAUUCACGGAAUUGCCAGUAGAAUUGGAGUGAGCGUGAGUAUCAAUUGCUCGGAGAGGAAAUCAUGAACUGCGAUCAGAAUAUUCUCUCACUGAAAUAUAUUUGAUCUGUGUGUGUAUCCUGGCCACUUGAUAACCGAGUACUAUCGUUUGUCUUCCCAUUUGAUUUCUCAUAUGAAGCUACUAAUUUUGACAAUUCCUUUUAUUUUACAACACUAUUGCUUAUGUUUUCCUAUGGAAAGUAAACUAGAGUGAAUUAAUGAUUUGUUUUUCUUUAGAUGUUGUCGGUCGGGUGUCCUCUACUACUGAAGUUUUACCACCAUCUGGUGGUGCUUGAGAGCAGAGAUGGCAUACUUUCAUCGCAGCGACCAAAGCCCCAGCGCCGCUGGUGCUGUACACCCCUGUACCCCUCGAAAUCCAGUGCCUCGCGUCUGCCCAACAUGAACACCUCCUCAAUAUGUACAUCUCUGAAUUUUGCCAUUGCUAGAGAAAGUAGAGAAUUGUUUUGCUGUAGCUAUAAUUUGACUUUAGAAGAUAUACUUCUCUCUUUUUGACGUCAAUUUUUCAGUUGACGUUUCCGUCCAGUCUCAUGUCUUUCUCUUUAGCAGGGAUCAGUGAGUACUAAACGAGCAAAAAUGUCCUUCUCUUUUUCAUAUUUCUUCCUUUUCCUUACUACUUUUGUGGCUCCAAAUCUCAUGAUGGCUCUAUGUCUGUUCUUUUUGUUGACAUGGAUUUUACCCUGAAAAUUUUCUUCCGAUCUACAAUGUUCUGCCAUCUAAAUUUGUCUGUAUAAGUGUAUAUUGUGAAUGAGUAGACACUUGUGCAGAAGCCCAAUGGGAUGAAAUUACGGACUACAGAGAGGUGUAAUUAUUAAUUAAUUUCUUGCUUUAAAAGAUAUGCAACUAGCAGAGUUUCUUAUUAUUAUCAAUUGGAUUAUGACCGAAGUGAAGAACUUAUGUGGACAGUCUGGCAGAUUUCGGUGGCAAGAUUUUUGUACAAUUACAGUGGCAGAUUUCAGAAAUUUGUAGAGCACAUGAUUUACAAGAACAAGAUAUUCUGUCAAGCCAUGGAUAUCAACAAUCAGUCAAGCAAAGAAAUAUUCACGGGAGAUAUACAGGGAUCCACAAGAAUAUGCACCGUAUGGCACUACCCUUUUGUCAUGGAGCCACUAUCACAUUUUGGUCAGCAAUCAGUUCAAGCAAUUCUCAGCGCAAUUAGUCAGAAGUUGGAAUUUACAUCUAAACGAACAAUACAUCAAGCAACAGAAGAAAGAGUGGUCAUCUCUUUUUCUUGGCACCAAGAUGCCAUACAAGCAUUCAGACUUCGGAAUCGCACAAGCAGUUUGUAUAUAAAUGAUGUGCCAUAUCGUUUUAACAUGGACACUUCAAAAGAAUAUCUGCCAAGAGUGGUCGCUGAUCACUAUGAUUAUAGUAGUCCUAAAGAGUUCGCCUCUGCGUUUCUGUUCACAUGUAGUUGAUGUUUGAGCCUUUUAGAAGUAUAUGGCGUUGAUUAAAUUAUGUUUCUUUUGGCAACAACAUACGAAAUGGAGAAAUUUUUUAGGUUUAGGAUAAAAUUGUUCUAGAUUUUGAGAAGAUUGUUA